CUUCUGCUGACGAGUCCCAGACAGGACGAAACAAGUGUCCUGAAU
rfam:Schistosoma curassoni strain Dakar, Senegal genome assembly, scaffold: SCTD_contig0001748